CUAGGGUGACGCUGCCGUGGUGUUCGGGAAGCCGGUGGAAGACCGGUGCGGCCCUCGCCACUGUGAUCGGGAAGUUCGCGGCCCUCGUCGUAAGAGGUCACUGGGCGUCAAGCCUGGGAAGGCCGGCCACGGACGCAUUUCCCGUCAGCCAGGAGACCGGCCACGGCACUGCGAUGACC
rnacentral:ncRNA from 1 species